GGCGCAUGCAGAUGAUAUCCGUGAUGUGAGUGUUACUUCAAGAAAGGUCCUGAUCAAGACAUAUUAUCUGAAAAUCGCAGGACUGAAGAGAUUCAUUUGUAGGUACUGCACCGUGGCUUUUCCAUGUGGAGCCACUUGUGGGUAUGGCAUUGCAGGCAUCCAGUGCUUGGAGCCGUGGAUGUAGUCUCCAGAUCUGAAGUCUUGAUAUUGAAUCUACACUCGUGUGGAUCGACUUCUCAGUCAUUGGGGAUUCUGUAGGACAGAGGCUAGGUGUAUCAGUCUGGCAUUACUACCUACUGAGAUUAAUUAUUAAAGCGAUGGAGCCUCUUGGAGACAAAGGUGUGUUUGGAUCUGUUGCCAUGACAAUGACGGUUCUGAGUAUGUGUUCAUCUCUAGAAAUCAGCAGUUGUGGGUGUAGCCUUUAUAAGUUGUUUUGAUACUUGAUGACUUUAUAGUCUUACAACAUCAAAGAAAUUUGUUUAGCGUAACUGUUUUUAUAAUAAAUUAGCAAAUAAUUGAAUCAGUACUUAGUAUUGGUCAACUGUCAUGUCAUUAAUGGUUAUUGUCUAUAAUGUUGAAUUCGUAGUAAACAUACAUGUGUAUAGUUUUCAUGUGGUGGUUAUUAAAC